rnacentral:misc_RNA from 1 species
AAAGAUGUACUUUUGGAAAAUUAAUACUGUGCCCAAUCUCUACAAUGGAUAAUUUUUACAAGGGUAAUUAUUGUUAGCAAAACAUCUUAUGCAACUAUUUUCAUUGAAAACAUAGAGAAUUUCAAUACGUAUACGUAUGUUACUGGUCAAGUCCGCAGGUUAUACAAAAGUCGUCAUUUCCCGAACAAUGGCAGCAUUACGCAGUCAAAUACACACCGCUGCCCGGAAGAGACCGUUAGUGAACAUGCUCUCUGCAGUAUGAGCGAAAUUGACAUUUCGUACCACUUUACCUGUACGGUGUUGGUAUCUAAAAGUCUUCGUCGGAACAAUAUAUCGGUAGAACUUACUAAGAAAAAUACCACCGGAGAAGAAAAUGUUAUCAACGAUCUUAAAAAAUAGAAAACAAGUAGCGGCGAAUCCUUUUUCCUUACCGGUCGACUAAUUAUAAGAUAAUUGUAUUAAUGGACGAUCGAAGAGUCGGCUACUACAAAGACCGGGCGAAAAGCAGAAUGUCUACUUUUGUGGGAUAGUUUGAUUAGGAGAGGGUGGAGUUUCUUUCGAUCAUCCUAAAGGACGUAAAAUUCGGCGGGGGAAAACCAGAAGAACGACACCUUUCAUUAUCUCAUGCGAGGCACGUGGCUGGGUGCACGACAACUUUCUCGGAGCUGCGUUUUUCAUCUUGAUAAUUAUCUCGGUCCCCCG